rnacentral:rRNA from 1 species
AGAGUUUGAUCAUGGCUCAGGAUGAACGCUAGCGGCAGGCUUAACACAUGCAAGUCGAGGGGCAUCGGGAGGGAAGCUUGCUUUCCUUGCCGGCGACCGGCGCACGGGUGAGUAACACGUAUGCAACCUGCCCUCUUCAGGGGGACAACCUUCCGAAAGGGAGGCUAAUCCCGCGUAUAUCGGUUUCGGGCAUCCGUUAUCGAGGAAAGAUUCAUCGGAAGAGGAUGGGCAUGCGGCGCACUAGCUAGACGGCGGGGUAACGGCCCACCGUGGCGACGAUGCGUAGGGGUUCUGAGAGGAAGGUCCCCCACACUGGUACUGAGACACGGACCAGACUCCUACGGGAGGCAGCAGUGAGGAAUAUUGGUCAAUGGGAGAGAUCCUGAACCAGCCAAGCCGCGUGAGGGAAGACGGCUCUAUGGGUUGUAAACCUCUUUUGUCGGAGAACAAAACCCGGGACGUGUCCCGGACUGCGUGUAUCCGAAGAAAAAGCAUCGGCUAACUCCGUGCCAGCAGCCGUGGUAAUACGGAGGAUGCGAGCGUUAUCCGGAUUUUAUUGGNUUUAAAGGGUGCGUAGGCGGUUCCGUUAAGUCAGCGGUAAAAAUUGCGGGGCUCAACCCCGUUCGAGCCGUUGAAAACUGGCAGACUUGAGUUGGCGAGAAAGUACGCGGAAUGCGCGGUGUAGCGGUGAAAUGCAUAGAUAUCGCGCAGAACUCCGAUUGCGAAGGCAGCGUACCGGCGCCAGACUGACGCUGAGGCACGAAAGCGUGGGGAUCGAACAGGAUUAGAUACCCUGGUAGUCCACGCAGUAAACGAUGAAUGCUGGUUGUCCGGGUCGAAUGAGAUCUGGGCGGCGAAGCGAAAGCGAUAAGCAUUCCACCUGGGGAGUACGCCGGCAACGGUGAAACUCAAAGGAAUUGACGGGGGCCCGCACAAGCGGAGGAACAUGUGGUUUAAUUCGAUGAUACGCGAGGAACCUUACCCGGGCUCAAACGGGAGUGGAAUGAACCAGAGACGGUUCAGCCUACGGGCCGCUUCCGAGGUGCUGCAUGGUUGUCGUCAGCUCGUGCCGUGAGGUGUCGGCUUAAGUGCCAUAACGAGCGCAACCCCCGCCGGCAGUUGCUAACGGGCAAUGCCGAGGACUCUGCCGGGACUGCCGCCGCAAGGCGUGAGGAAGGCGGGGAUGACGUCAAAUCAGCACGGCCCUUACGUCCGGGGCGACACACGUGUUACAAUGGGCGGUACAGCGGGAAGCCAGGCGGCGACGCCGAGCGGAACCCGAAAGCCGUUCUCAGUUCGGAUCGGAGUCUGCAACCUGACUCCGUGAAGCUGGAUUCGCUAGUAAUCGCGCAUCAGCCAUGGCGCGGUGAAUACGUUCCCGGGCCUUGUACACACCGCCCGUCAAGCCAUGGGAGCCGGGGGUGCUUGAAGUGCGUCGCCGCGAGGCGCGCCCUAGAGCAAAACCGGUGACUGGGGCUAAGUCGUAACAAGGUAACCG